CUGAGAUCAGGCACUCAAGAAUUCAUUUAGCCAACACCUCCUGAGAGCACAGACAGCCAUUUUUAAAGCAUUGUAGAAAAUGGGCGCGGGUAGACAGGGCAUCCUGAAGCUGACAAAGACCCUGCAAGCUGGAUGAUCUAAUGCGCACAGUGGGCAAAAGCAGGACGUGUUCCCCCUGGUGCCCAAAGUGGAGGCUGCGCUUGGCAUCUGAAAUCUGUCUCCUCCCGGCUGGGAGGGCCAGGAGCCUCGCUGAUGGCAAGCACACUGAGGCACAGAGACGUGAAGUGACUUGCACAGGGUCACACCGCAGAGGGCCCGCUCUCACUCAGGUCUCUCGAUUCCUAAUCAGUUAAGAAGGCUACACUUAACGCUUUUGAACAAAUUCUAUUAUUAGCUCUCAGCAAAUAGACGUCACAAAGGAAUGUUCUUUUCACUUGAAAAGUAAACAAUGAUGUCCUUGACACAACGAGAUUAAAC